rnacentral:rRNA from 1 species
GUUGGUACUUGUACCGACUGGAUGAGCAGCGAACGGGUGAGUAACGCGUGGGGAAUCUGCCUUUGAGCGGGGGACAACAUUUGGAAACGAAUGCUAAUACCGCAUAAAAACUUUAAACACAAGUUUUAAGUUUGAAAGAUGCAAUUGCAUCACUCAAAGAUGAUCCCGCGUUGUAUUAGCUAGUUGGUGAGGUAAAGGCUCACCAAGGCGAUGAUACAUAGCCGACCUGAGAGGGUGAUCGGCCACAUUGGGACUGAGACACGGCCCAAACUCCUACGGGAGGCAGCAGUAGGGAAUCUUCGGCAAUGGACGAAAGUCUGACCGAGCAACGCCGCGUGAGUGAAGAAGGUUUUCGGAUCGUAAAACUCUGUUGGUAGAGAAGAACGUUGGUGAGAGUGGAAAGCUCAUCAAGUGACGGUAACUACCCAGAAAGGGACGGCUAACUACGUGCCAGCAGCCGCGGUAAUACGUAGGUCCCGAGCGUUGUCCGGAUUUAUUGGGCGUAAAGCGAGCGCAGGUGGUUUAUUAAGUCUGGUGUAAAAGGCAGUGGCUCAACCAUUGUAUGCAUUGGAAACUGGUAGACUUGAGUGCAGGAGAGGAGAGUGGAAUUCCAUGUGUAGCGGUGAAAUGCGUAGAUAUAUGGAGGAACACCGGUGGCGAAAGCGGCUCUCUGGCCUGUAACUGACACUGAGGCUCGAAAGCGUGGGGGAGCAAACAGGAUUAGAUACCCUGGUAGUCCACGCCGUAAACGAUGAGUGCUAGAUGUAGGGAGCUAUAAGUUCUCUGUAUCGCAGCUAACGCAAUAAGCACUCCGCCUGGGGAGUACGACCGCAAGGUUGAAACUCAAAGGAAUUGACGGGGGCCCGCACAAGCGGUGGAGCAUGUGGUUUAAUUCGAAGCAACGCGAAGAACCUUACCAGGUCUUGACAUACUCGUGCUAUUCCUAGAGAUAGGAAGUUCCUUCGGGACACGGGAUACAGGUGGUGCAUGGUUGUCGUCAGCUCGUGUCGUGAGAUGUUGGGUUAAGUCCCGCAACGAGCGCAACCCCUAUUGUUAGUUGCCAUCAUUAAGUUGGGCACUCUAACGAGACUGCCGGUGAUAAACCGGAGGAAGGUGGGGAUGACGUCAAAUCAUCAUGCCCCUUAUGACCUGGGCUACACACGUGCUACAAUGGAUGGUACAACGAGUCGCGAGACAGUGAUGUUUAGCUAAUCUCUUAAAACCAUUCUCAGUUCGGAUUGUAGGCUGCAACUCGCCUACAUGAAGUCGGAAUCGCUAGUAAUCGCGGAUCAGCACGCCGCGGUGAAUACGUUCCCGGGCCUUGUACACACCGCCCGUCACACCACGGGAGUUGGGAGUACCCGAAGUAGGUUGCCUAACCGCA